ACCCGCUUCCCAUGAAUCACUCUAUUCCUAGGUGUCCUAAAGUUCACUCAUGGCCUGGGUAUUGGGCCUUUUACCUCUUGUGAUCCCCACCCAACAGAGAAACAGAUACACAGCCAGCACAAUGAUAAUAUGAUGCAUGCGAACAUAUAUGCAAGUAUAUACAAUCACAACAUAAUUAUAAAUGCAAUAAAUAAAGCAGUAAAAGUAACCAAAACUAUCCUAAAGAGCGCUAGGAUUGACUCGCUUAGGGAAGAUGGAC
rnacentral:lncRNA from 1 species